rnacentral:rRNA from 5 species
UACGAAGGGGGCUAGCGUUGUUCGGAAUUACUGGGCGUAAAGCGCACGUAGGCGGAUAUUUAAGUGAGGGGUGAAAUCCCAGGGCUCAACCCUGGAACUGCCUCUCAUACUGGGUAUCUCGAGUUCGAGAGAGGUGAGUGGAAUUGCGAGUGUAGAGGUGAAAUUCGUAGAUAUUCGCAGGAACACCAGUGGCGAAGGCGGCUCACUGGCUCGAUACUGACGCUGAGGUGCGAAAGCGUGGGGAGCAAACAGG